rnacentral:rRNA from 1 species
UACAGAGGGGGCAAGCGUUGUUCGGAAUUACUGGGCGUAAAGGGCGCGUAGGCGGCCUUCUAAGUCGAACGUGAAAUCCCCGGGCUCAACCCGGGAACUGCGUCCGAUACUGGAAGGCUUGAAUCCGGGAGAGGGAUGCGGAAUUCCAGGUGUAGCGGUGAAAUGCGUAGAUAUCUGGAGGAACACCGGUGGCGAAGUCGGCAUCCUGGACCGGCAUUGACGCUGAGGCGCGAAAGCCAGGGGAGCAAACGGG